GCUGUUCUCCACACACCAUACCCCUUUUCUCUCCUCCAUCUCCCCUAUAGGAAGUCCCAUUCUCCCGCGUGUGGUGCAGUAACCGACAGCCCCUGCACUGUGCCUUCUCCCUGGAGCUCUACACGCCCACCACCACCCAGCUGUCCUGCAAAAUCUGCAUCCGGCAGCUCAAAGGCCAUGAACAGAUACUCCAAGUGCAGAUAUCCAUCCUAGAGAGUGAAAGAGAAACCAUCACUUUCUUUGCACAAGAGGACAGCAGUUUCCCUGCACAGACUGGCCCCAAAGCCUUUAAAAUCCCCUACUCUAUCAGACAGCGGAUUUGUGCUACAUUUGAUACCCCAAAUGCCAAAGGCAAGGACUGGCAGAUGCUAGCGCAGAAAAACAGCAUCAACAGGUAUGGUGGCAGCUUCUGAACGAUGAUUUUCUUAAGAGAACUUUAAAAAGACAGAACUGGUGGAGGUAACCAUGAUAUCUUUAUAGACUUUUCAGGCCUUA
rnacentral:lncRNA from 1 species